GUACCUUCAAGCUCUGCUUGGUGUUGGGUGUUUGUCCCGCCUUUGUGCGUGGACUCGCCUUAAAGCAAUUGGCAGCCGACGUAUUGUUUCGGAGCGCAGCACAAAUUGCGCUUUGCAGCUAUUACGACAGCAUCCAUCAAGCCUUUUUUCAC
rnacentral:misc_RNA from 1 species